rnacentral:ncRNA from 1 species
GCCCACCCGUUGGGAGAAGCCGGUUCACACCGGUGCCGAAGGAGCAACCGCCCCGGAAACUCUCAGGCAAAAGGACCAGCGGGACAAG